rnacentral:lncRNA from 1 species
AAGAUAGUUGAAAAAGAAAAGAAAAAGAAAAAAAGAAAAUAGAAAAAGAAAAAAACGAAUGAAAAAAAUAGAAGGAUGUCAAUACAUGUCAAUACAUACUCCUUCUGAAAAAAAUAAAAAAAUAAAGAGAAAUGAGAGAAAAAAACAGUUGUUAUAGAGUUGUUGAAGUGAAUGAAAUUUUUUGUAAAUUCAACUCCCGCAGUUUCUUUCAUGUCUCUUUUGUCUCUUUGAAUUUUAGCCUAGUACCCCCUUAGGAUUUAUC